UCAGCCAGGAACACUGUACCAACGUGCUGGCCUCAUCUGCCGUACGUCCCAAACCGAAGCGUAAUGGGCGAAAAAAACGGAGCAGACAGCCUGUGUCAGCGGAGAUAAAACAAGGGAUUACCACGUCUACUACGAUCCGCAUCCUGCAUGCGACGGUUAACUGGAAAAGACACAAGUCCACUACAGGGGGUCUACCACUUGGACACUCACCUGGCAUGAAAUCAC